rnacentral:tRNA from 1 species
AGGAGCUGUGGCUCAGUGGUAGAGCAUCUGCUUCAGAGGCAGAAGGUCCCAGAAGCAAGCCCUGACAUCCCUA